AACACAUUAAUUUCUUAAAUUUCAUUCUCUCUCUAUAUUUUCCUCUCUCUUUUUCUCUCAUCUUCUUCAAGAAGUUUCUCACAAAAUCAAAUAUAACAAACUCCCUUCCAAGAGGCUUUAACCACCAAAAACCUCCUCCCUCCUCCGCGAACAGCCACCUCACUAUUUCCUCCGGCCAAGCGAACCGACUUCUGCCUUGCUCCACGGCCGAUCGGCCGCGACCCCUUCGCCUCCCACCAAUUUCCGUUUUCGGCCGCUCACGGACUCCCUCCGUCCUUCGCGCCCCUUCUCCGCAGCCUCUCCCUCCGCCUCUUCGCGUAUUCUAG